rnacentral:tRNA from 1 species
CGCGGAGUGGAGCAGUCUGGUAGCUCGUUGGGCUCAUAACCCAAAGGUCGUAGGUUCAAAUCCUGCCUCCGCAACCA